AUUGAACGCUGGCGGAAUGCUUUACACAUGCAAGUCGAACGGCAGCACGGGAGCUUGCUCCUGGUGGCGAGUGGCGAACGGGUGAGUAAUACAUCGGAACGUACCCUGACGUGGGGGAUAACACAUCGAAAGAUGUGCUAAUACCGCAUACGACCUGAGGGUGAAAGGGGGGGAUCGCAAGACCUCUCGCGUUUGGAGCGGCCGACGUCGGAUUAGCUAGUUGGUGGGGUAAAGGCCUACCAAGGCGACGAUCCGUAGCUGGUCUGAGAGGAUGAUCAGCCACACUGGGACUGAGACACGGCCCAGACUCCUACGGGAGGCAGCAGUGGGGAAUUUUGGACAAUGGGGGCAACCCUGAUCCAGCCAUUCCGCGUGAGUGAAGAAGGCCUUCGGGUUGUAAAGCUCUUUCGGCAGGAACGAAACGGUGGGUCCUAAUACGAUCUGCUAAUGACGGUACCUGAAGAAGAAGCACCGGCUAACUACGUGCCAGCAGCCGCGGUAA
rnacentral:rRNA from 1 species